rnacentral:rRNA from 1 species
AGAGUUUGAUCCUGGCUCAGAGCGAACGCUGGCGGCGUGCUUAACACAUGCAAGUCGAACGUGAAAAGGGGCAACCCUGAGUAAAGUGGCGUACGGGUGAGUAACACGUAGGUAAUCUACCCUAGUGUCCGGGAAUAACCUGCCGAAAGGCGGGCUAAUACGGGAUAGAGCGAGGAAUCCGUAAUUGGGUUUUUCGGGAAAGGGAGCUCGCAAGAGCCCUCGCACCAGGAUGAGCCUGCGUCCCAUCAGCUAGUUGGUGAGGUAAAAGCUUACCAAGGCAAUGACGGGUAGCUGGUCUGAGAGGAUGAUCAGCCACACUGGAACUGAAACACGGUCCAGACUCCUACGGGAGGCAGCAGUGGGGAAUCUUGCGCAAUGGACGAAAGUCUGACGCAGCCACGCCGCGUGAGUGAAGAAGGCCUUCGGGUUGUAAAGCUCUGUCGGACGAGACGAAAACCCUUUAGGUGAAUAGCCUAGAGGCUUGACGGUACCGUCAAAGGAAGCACCGGCUAACUCCGUGCCAGCAGCCGCGGUAAUACGGAGGGUGCAAGCGUUGCUCGGAAUUAUUGGGCGUAAAGGGCAGGUAGGUGGUCUCGUUUGUCAGGGGUGAAAGCCUUGGGCUUAACCCAAGAAGUGCCUCUGAAACGGCGAGACUGGAGUACUGGAGAGGAGUGGAAUUCCCGGUGUAGCGGUGAAAUGCGUAGAGAUCGGGAGGAACACCAGAGGCGAAGGCGGCUCACUGGACAGUAACUGACACUCAACUGCGAAAGCGUGGGGAGCAAACAGGAUUAGAUACCCUAGUAGUCC